UUUGCUGAGUGUCACUGGGGUGGAGCUCGGCCCAGGGGCUGGGAGUUCAUGUUGGAUUGGGUUGAUGGUCCAGCAAACAGCUAGAGGCGGCAGUGCGUGGUGGAAAGUAACAACAAAGAGCCAACUAUCGCCACAUGCAACACCUUGGAUGGAUCUCCAAGCAGUUAUGCUGAGUGAAAAAAGCCGGUCUCAGAAGGUUACACACUGUAUGGUUUCGUUUAUGUGACAUUCUUGAAAUGCCAGCAUUAUGGAGACGAACAGAUGAGGAAACUGAAUUGGUGGCACCUGACUUGUUCCUUUUCCUGGAGUCGCAUGGUGAAUAAAUGGCAGAGCCAGGACACCUUCCCAAGCCUGUCAAACACCAAGGCCUCUCGUCUCGCCGCUGUGGUACCUGGGACUGCUGUGUCAGAGUCUGUGAGCAUCCGAGGGAGCUGGUGAAAAAAAGAGCGAGAGCGACAGAAAGAGAGAGAGAGAAGAAAAAUAAGGAGAAAAGAAAGUCAAAAGGAGUGGGUUGUUUCCUAAAGGAAAAUGCUGCUGUACUCAUAUAGGCAUCCGGCUGUCCUUGAAGGGGUUGGACGGAUGAAGCAGAAUCCCUAAGGCUGGUGUCCUAAGGGAGUGCCAGAACCAUGCAUUCAUUCGACAAAGACUUUUGGAGGCAGGCACGCUUCUUUGUGUUGGAGAAUCCAUACCUGAGAACAAGACAGCUCUCAUGGAGCUUCCCUUCUAGUGGAGAGAGGCUGGCACCAAACACGUGGCAAGGAGGGCAAGUUCAGAGAGUCGGAGGAGUUGUGAGGAGAAGAAAAUGAGGCUUUGAUGGAUUAAAUAACACGCCCAAGUUCAUGCAUUAAUAAUAGAGGACAAAGGCAGGAGUCAGUGCCAUACUUCUCUGGCACCAAAAAUUCACGCUCCUGACUCUGUGCAACACAAGCUCUCCUGCAUAGCUAGUCCUUUCAUCACAGCUGAAGGAGGACGUGGCCUUACCUUUGCAUAGCAUUUUAUACUCUUCCAGGCUAUUUCCAGCACGUCACCUCAUUUCACCUUGGGGCAUCAUUAUUUCCAGCUUCUCCUCCGAGGCCUGCCACGAACGCAAAGGAAAAUGGCAGGAGCGGAUCCUCUAGCAACGGAGCCAAUUAAGCGUCUUGCAAAUAUAGAGCAGUUAAAUCCCAUGACAUGAAGGACCAAGAAAAGCCUUGAGUUGGCCAUGACUAGAGCAGAACUUUGCGGGGCCGGAAUUUAAAUAGGAAAAGACCUUUCCUUUCUCCUAACGUGACCCGCAGAAAUUAGUUCCGGGCAGACUCCUCAGUGUUGAAAGAAUGUACCAGUGAGGAGCGCCUGUGUCCUUAGGUUCCU